rnacentral:rRNA from 1 species
AAUUAAAUUUAUUAAUAUGUUUUUUUUUUUUUAAUUUUUUAUAAAAAUAAUUUAUUUAUUUAAUGUUUUAGUAUUAAUUAAAAAUUAAUUUAUAGAUUUAUAGUUUAAUAGUAUUGUAGAAGAAAUUGUUAAAUUUAAUAAAGAAUUUAUUAGUACCUUUUGUAUCAGGGUUGAUUAAAAUUUUUAAUUUUUUUUUAAUUUCUCAAAAUUUAUAGAGUUAAUUUUAUUAUUAAUUUAUUGUAGUAAAAAUAUUUAAAAAAUAAUAUUAGUUUUGAAAUUUAAUUCGUUAUAUUAUAUUUAGUUAUUUAAGAUUUAAAUUUAAUUUAAAAUUUUAAAAGUUAUAUUGAUUUUAUUAAUUAAUAUUUUAGAUUUAAAUUAUUUUAGGGAUAAGCUUGAAAUUUUAAUAUAAUAAUUUAUUUAUUUUAAUAAUUUAUAGGAAUAGAAAUUUUUAUAUAAGUUUGUAAAAAUUUAUUAUUUAUUUAAUUUUAAUUUAUUAUAUUUAUAUUUAUUUUUAGUAUUAAAUUUUAUUAAUUAAUAUUUAAUUAAUAGUAAUAAUGAUUAAAUUAGUAUAAUAUAUAAAUUUAUAAAUUAUGAAUUCGGCAAAAAUUAUUUUCAUCUGUUUAACAAAAACAUUGUAUUAAGUUUAAUUUAAUAUAGGAUCUGCUCAAUGAUUUAUUAAAUAGCUGCAGUAUUUUGACUGUGCAAAGGUAGCAUAAUAAUUAGUCUUUUAAUUGAGGACUUGAAUGAAAGAUUUGAUGAGAAAUAAACUUUAUUAUUUGUAAAAUUAGAAUUUUAUUUUUAAGUAAAAAAGCUUAAAUUAUUUAAAGGGACGAUAAGACCCUAUAAAACUUUAUAAAUUUUAAUUUUAAUUUUUUUGGAUUUAUAAAUAUUUUACAAUUAAAAUUUAUUUUAUUGGGGUGAUAAAAAAAAUUAAUAAACUUUUUUUAAAAUUUAACAUUAUUUAAUGAUUAUUUGAAUUAAAAUUUUUAAUUAAAGGAAAAAGUUACUUUAGGGAUAACAGCGUAAUUAAUUUUUUAAGUUCAAAUUUAAAAAUUAGUUUGCGACCUCGAUGUUGAAUUAAGAUUAAUCUUAGGUGCAAAAUUUUAAGUAUUAGGUCUGUUCGACCUUUAAUUUCUUACAUGAUUUGAGUUCAAACCGGUGUAAGCCAGGUUGGUUUCUAUCUUUUAUUAAUUAAAUUAUUUUAGUACGAAAGGAUUGAAUAAUUAAAUUAAAUUUUUUUAUAAUGAAUUAAAAUAAUUUA